rnacentral:rRNA from 1 species
AACGAACGCUGGCGGCAUGCCUAACACAUGCGAGUCGAACGAGACCUUCGGGUCUAGUGGCGCACGGGUGCGUAACGCGUGGGAACCUGCCCUUAGGUUCGGAAUAACUCCCCGAAAGGGGUGCUAAUACCGGAUAAUGUCUUCGGACCAAAGAUUUAUCGCCUUUGGAUGGGCCCGCGUUGGAUUAGCUAGUUGGUAGGGUAAAAGCCUACCAAGGCGACGAUCCAUAGCUGGUCUGAGAGGAUGAUCAGCCACACUGGGACUGAGACACGGCCCAGACUCCUACGGGAGGGAGCAGUGGGGAAUAUUGGACAAGGGGCGAAAGCCUGAUACAGCAAUGCCGCGUGAGUGAUGAAGGCCUUAGGGUUGUAAAGCUCUUUUACCCGGGAUGAUAAUGACAGUACCGGGAGAAUAAGCACCGGCUAACUCCGUG